UGCUCUGGUCCAAACACUACCUGCCA
rnacentral:piRNA from 1 species